UAUGACCUGGGCUACACACGUGCUACAAUGGAUAGAACAAAGGGCAGCGAAGCCGCGAGGUGAAGCCAAUCCCAUAAAUCUAUUCUCAGUUCGGAUUGCAGGCUGCAACUCGCCUGCAUGAAGCCGGAAUCGCUAGUAAUCGCGGAUCAGCAUGCCGCGGUGAAUACGUUCCCGGGCCUUGUACACACCGCCCGUCACACCACGAGAGUUUGUAACACCCGAAGUCGGUGGGGUAACCUUUUGGAGCCAGCCGCCUAAGGUGGGACAGAUGAUUGGGGUGAAGUCGUAACAAGGUAGCCGUAUCGGAAGGUGCGGCUGGAUCACCUCCUUU
rnacentral:ncRNA from 1 species